AGGGCUCUCUUACCAAUGACAGGCAACAAAUAGUUGACUUACUGCUGGAACCCAGACGCUGCAGAUGGGACUAGACUCUUCAGCCUAGAACAAAAGGUCCCUGGUACCCAGGCCAAAAGCACCUGCUCAGGAACGUCCUGUGUGCUGCUGUCUGAAUUUGUCCCUUAGAGGAUCGAGCAGUGUAACCAGCAGAGACAGCAUUCUGGAGGAGGCUGAGUUUGGGAAACUUCAAGUUCAUGUUCCAGAUGUCUGCUGCUCAGCGGGUGAUUCUGGUACUAUUUUGGGGAAGUCGUGGAACCUUGCUGGCAGAAGUGGGUCAUUAGGGGGGCGGGCCACUGAAGGUUAUAACUGGCCCAUGGUUCCUGCCACACUGCCUGCUUCCUAGUCUUCUAUGAUGUGAAUCCUUCUUCCACAUGCUCCCUACCCCAUGAUAUGAACUAUUCUGCUGUGUCUUUUCCCUACCAUGAUAGACUGAAAACAUG